GGGUGGGUCCAGCCUGGAGAAGAGAAGGCUCUGCAAAGGCCCAACAGCUUUCUGGCCCCAACAGGGGCUCCAGGAAAGCAGGGGCUCCUGGAACUGCGGGGACAGGACCAGGGGGGAUGGUUUUCGGGAGACUGAGAAACAUUCACUUGGCAAUGGAGAUCACGCUCCCAAAAACUGUUGAUCAACCGGAGCAGGAAAACGCCCCCGAGGGCCAGGAAGGGCCAGCCUGCAGCAUCGGGGACCAAGUGGCCCGUGCCCUCACCUCCCUCAUGAGCCGCCUGAGGAACAGCAUCUUUGCCGUGUACGUACGAUCCAUUCCCGCUGUGCGUGGGUGACAACAGGGAUGAUUGAGG